GACCGAGGGGGCCAGCGUUAUUCGGAAUUAUUGGGCGUAAAGGGCACGUAGGCGGCUUUGCGUGUCUUUCGUGAAAUCCCUCGGCUCAACUGAGGACGUGCGGAAGAAACUGCAGGGCUGGAGUCCGGGAGAGGAGGGUGGAAUUCCCAGUGUAGCGGUGAAAUGCGUAGAUAUUCGGAAGAACACCAGUGGCGAAGGCGACUCACUGGCCCGAUACUGACGCUGAGGCGCGAAAGCGUGGGGAGCAAACAGG
rnacentral:rRNA from 1 species